CAGGCAUUCAGGCAGCGAGAGCAGAGCAGCGUAGAGCAGCACAGCUGAGCUCGUGAGGCAGGAGACUCAGCCCGAGGAAAUCGCAGAUAAGUUUUUAAUUAAAAAGAUUGAGCAGUAAAAAGAAUUAGAACUCUAAACUUAAGCUAAUAGAGUAGCUUAUCGAAAUAUUACUUAGUCUUAAUAAUCUAAGAAGAUCUUAAGAGAUAACAUGAAGGCUUAUUUAAACAGUUUGAAAAAGGAAAUGAGGAGAAAAGUAUUUGUACUGUAUAAUGGAGGCUGACCAGAGCAGUUUAGGAGAUUGUAAAGGGAGGUUUUGUGAAGUUCUAAAAGGUUCUAGUUUGAAGGUCGGCCUUGUAGAUUAAAACGAAGGUUACCUAAAUAGAAUCUAAGUGGCAUUUAAAACAGUAAAGUUGUAGAGAAUAGUUUGAAAAUGAGGUGUAGUUUUAAAAGAUUGAGAAAAGUAGGUUAAGUUGACGGCCGUUAUAAAAAUCCUUCGACUGGCGCAUGUACGUUUGAAGGCAUGAGUUGGAAACAGGGAAGAUGGAAGUGUUAGGCUAGCCGGGCGAUGGUGGCGCACGCCUUUAAUCCUAGCACUUGGGAGGCAGAGGCAGGCGGAUUUCUGAGUUCGAGGCCAGCCUGGUCUACAGAGUGAGUUCCAGGACAGCCAGGGCUACACAGAGAAACCCUGUCUUGAAAAAACAAAAAGGUUAGGCUAGUAUUUGGAGAAAGAAGAUUAGAAAAUGGAAGUGAAAGACGAAGAAGACAUACAGGAAGGUGAAGAAAAAGCUGUUAGAGAAGAUAGGAAAAUAGAAGACAAAGCAUCUUUAGAAGACAGAAAAGGUACUUAAAGGCACAGGUAGUAGGAAGCCGAAGAAUAGAAGAUAGAAAGAAGCAAGAUAGAAAAACAAAAUGGAAGUUAAGACAACUUUGGAUGCCAGCAUUCAAGAUAGGCAAAGAAGAUAAGAUUGAGGCCAAAAGGUUGGAUAAGAUAUAAAGUCAGAAGGAAAUUAUCUUUAAAGCCAUAAGUUCAAAUUUCUGAUGGAGCGAGCAGUUUAGAAGAGUCUUUAGACAGCCACAUACAAGAUUGAAGCUAGCAAUCAAAGCUACUAGGACUGAAGUAAAAAGUUAAGGCAGAAUGCCUUUGAAGAGUUAGAAGAAUAUUAAAAGCCUUAACUUGUAGCUUAAUUUUGCUUGAUGACAAAAGGACUUUUGAUAACAGUUUCAAGAUUGUCAGCAUUUUGCAUUGGACUUGAGCUGAGGUGCUUUUAAAAUCCUAACGACUAGCAUUGGCAGCUGACCCAGGUCUACACAGAAGUGCAUUCAGUGAACUAGGAAGACAGGAGCGGCAGACAGGAGUCCCGAAGCCAGUUUGGUGAAGCUAGGAAGGACUGAGGAGCCAGCAGCAGCAGUGCAUGGUGAAGAUAGCCCAGGAAAGAGUGCGGUUCGGUGGAGGAAGCUAGGAAGAAGGAGCCAUACGGAUGUGGUGGUGAAGCUGGGAAAGGGUUCCAGGAUGGUGGAGCGAGAGCGAGUUGGUGAUGAAGCUAGCUGGCGGCUUGGCUUGUCAACUGCGCGGAGGAGGCGAGCAGGCAUUGUGGAGAGGAUAGAUAGCGGCUCCUAGACCAGCAUGCCAGUGUGCAAGAAAGGCUGCAGGGAGAGCAUGCGGUGCGGUAACAUUCCUUGAGGUCGGCAACAUGGUGGUGGUUUUCUGUAACUUGGAUGGUAACUUGUUUACUUUGUCUUAAUAGUUAUGGGGGAGUUGUAGGCUUCUGUGUAAAGAGAUAUAUCUGGGGCUGUAUGUAGGCCUUUGCGGGUGUUGUAGGUUUUUCUUUUUCAGGGUUAUGUCCUCUUGCAUCUUGUCAGAAGCUUUUGAGGGCUGACUGCCAAGGCCCAGAAAGAAGAAUGGUAGAUGGCAAGUUGUCUUUAACCGCUCAGAGGGGAAUGAAUGGUAGAGCCAGCACAACCUCCCAGUUUUGUAAGACGUUGUAGUUUGAACAGAUGACCUACCACAAGCCUCACUCCUGUGUAGGGGAGGUAAUUGGGCAAAGUGCUUUUGGGGGAAUGGGGGCAAAAUAUAUUUUGAGUUCUUUUCCCCUUAGGUCUGUCUAGAAUCCUAAAGGCAGAUGACUCAAGGGAACCAGAAAAAAGGAAAUCCACUCUCAGGAUAAGCAGAGCUCGCCAGGUUUACAGUUUGUAGGAAGUAGAGGAUGGAUGCUAGCUUUCACACUGAGUGUGGAGGAGCUGGCCAUGGCGGAAUUGCUGGUAGUUUACUCUUUCCCCCUCCCUUAAUGAGAUUUGUAAAAUCCUAAACACUUUUACUUGAAAUAUUUGGGAGUGGUCUUAACAGGGAGGAGUGGGUGGGGGAAACGUUUUUUUUCUAAGAUUUUCCACAGAUGCUAUAGUUGUGUUGACACACUGGGUUAGAGAAGGCGUGUACUGCUAUGCUGUUGGCACGACACCUUCAGGGACUGGAGCUGCCUUUUGUCCUUGGAAGAGUUUUCCCAGUUGCCGCUGAAGUCAGCACAGUGCGGCUUUGGUUCACAGUCACCUCAGGAGAACCUCAGGAGCUUGGCUAGGCCAGAGGUUGAAGUUAAGUUUUACAGCACCGUGAUUUAAAAUAUUUCAUUAAAGGGGAGGGGUAAAACUUAGUUGGCUGUGGCCUUGUGUUUGGGUGGGUGGGGGUGUUAGGUAAUUGUUUAGUUUAUGAUUUCAGAUAAUCAUACCAGAGAACUUAAAUAUUUGGAAAAACAGGAAAUCUCAGCUUUCAAGUUGGCAAGUAACUCCCAAUCCAGUUUUUGCUUCUUUUUUCCUUUUUCUUUUUUUGAGGCGGGCAGCUAAGGAAGGUUGGUUCCUCUGCCGGUCCCUCGAAAGCGUAGGGCUUGGGGGUUGGUCUGGUCCACUGGGAUGAUGUGAUGCUACAGUGGGGACUCUUCUGAAGCUGUUGGAUGAAUAUAGAUUGUAGUGUGUGGUUCUCUUUUGAAAUUUUUUUCAGGUGACUUAAUGUAUCUUAAUAACUACUAUAGGAACAAAGGAAGUGGCUUUAAUGACCCUGAAGGAAUUUCUUCUGGUGAUAGCUUUUAUAUUAUCAAGUAAGAGAUACUAUCUCAGUUUUGUAUAAGCAAGUCUUUUUCCUAGUGUAGGAGAAAUGAUUUUCCUUGUGACUAAACAAGAUGUAAAGACCUUUUUCAGAUAACACCAUCUGAGUCAUAACCAGCCUGGCAGUGUGAUGACGUAGAUGCAGAGGGAGCAGCUCCUUGGUGAAUGAGUGAUAAGUAAAGGCAGAAAAAAUAAUGUCAUGUCUCCAUGGGGAAUGAGCAUGAGCCAGAGAUUGUUCCUACUGAUGAAAAGCUGCAUAUGCAAAAAUUUAAGCAAAUGAAAGCAACCAGUAUAAAGUUAUGGCAAUACCUUUAAAAGUUAUGGCUUAUCUACCAAGCUUUAUCCACAAAAGUAAAGAAUUGAUGAAAAACAGUGAAGAUCAAAUGUUCAUCUCAAAACUGCUUUUACAAAAGCAGAAUAGAAAUGAAGUGAAAAUGCUGCAUUAAGCCUGGAGUAAAAAGAAGCUGAGCUUGUUGAGAUGAGUGGGAUCGAGCGGCUGCGAGGCGGUGCAGUGUGCCAAUGUUUCGUUUGCCUCAGACAGGUUUCUCUUCAUAAGCAGAAGAGUUGCUUCAUUCCAUCUCGGAGCAGGAAACAGCAGACUGCUGUUGACAGAUAAGUGUAACUUGGAUCUGCAGUAUUGCAUGUUAGGGAUAGAUAAGUGCCUUUUUUCUCUUUUUCCAAAAAGACCUGUAGAGCUGUUGAAUGUUUGCAGCUGGCCCCUCUUAGGCAGUUCAGAAUUUUGAGUAGUUUUCCCAUCCAGCCUCUUAAAAAUUCCUAAGCCUUGCACCGAUGGGCUUUCAUGAUGGGAUAGCUAAUAGGCUUUUGCAUCGUAAACUUCAACACAAAAGCCUACAUGAUUAAUGCCUACUUUAAUUACAUUGCUUACAAGAUUAAGGAAUCUUUAUCUUGAAGACCCCAUGAAAGGGAUCAUUAUGUGCUGAAAAUUAGAUGUUCAUAUUGCUAAAAUUUAAAUGUGCUCCAAUGUACUUGUGCUUAAAAUCAUUAAAUUAUACAAAUUAAUAAAAUACUUCACUAGAGAAUGUAUGUAUUUAGAAGGCUGUCUCCUUAUUUAAAUAAAGUCUUGUUUGUUGUCUGUAGUUAGUGUGGGCAAUUUUGGGGGGAUGUUCUUCUCUAAUCUUUUCAGAAACUUGACUUCGAACACUUAAGUGGACCAGAUCAGGAUUUGAGCCAGAAGACCGAAAUUAACUUUAAGGCAGGAAAGACAAAUUUUAUUCUCCAUGCAGUGAUGAGCAUUUAAUAAUUGCAGGCCUGGCAUAGAGGCCGUCUAACUAAGGACUAAGUACCUUAGGCAGGUGGGAGAUGAUGGUCAGAGUAAAAGGUAACUACAUAUUUUGUUUCCAGAAAGUCAGGGGUCUAAUUUGACCAUGGCUAAACAUCUAGGGUAAGACACUUUUCCCCCACAUUUCCAAAUAUGCAUGUUGAGUUUAAAUGCUUACGAUCAUCUCAUCCACUUUAGCCUUUUGUCACCUCACUUGAGCCACGAGUGGGGUCAGGCAUGUGGGUUUAAAGAGUUUUCCUUUGCAGAGCCUCAUUUCAUCCUUCAUGGAGCUGCUCAGGACUUUGCAUAUAAGCGCUUGCCUCUGUCUUCUGUUCUGCUAGUGAGUGUGUGAUGUGAGACCUUGCAGUGAGUUUGUUUUUCCUGGAAUGUGGAGGGAGGGGGGGAUGGGGCUUACUUGUUCUAGCUUUUUUUUUACAGACCACACAGAAUGCAGGUGUCUUGACUUCAGGUCAUGUCUGUUCUUUGGCAAGUAAUAUGUGCAGUACUGUUCCAAUCUGCUGCUAUUAGAAUGCAUUGUGACGCGACUGGAGUAUGAUUAAAGAAAGUUGUGUUUCCCCAAGUGUUUGGAGUAGUGGUUGUUGGAGGAAAAGCCAUGAGUAACAGGCUGAGUGUUGAGGAAAUGGCUCUCUGCAGCUUUAAGUAACCCGUGUUUGUGAUUGGAGCCGAGUCCCUUUGCUGUGCUGCCUUAGGUAAAUGUUUUUGUUCAUUUCUGGUGAGGGGGGUUGGGAGCACUGAAGCCUUUAGUCUCUUCCAGAUUCAACUUAAAAUCUGACAAGAAAUAAAUCAGACAAGCAACAUUCUUGAAGAAAUUUUAACUGGCAAGUGGAAAUGUUUUGAACAGUUCCGUGGUCUUUAGUGCAUUAUCUUUGUGUAGGUGUUCUCUCUCCCCUCCCUUGGUCUUAAUUCUUACAUGCAGGAACAUUGACAACAGCAGACAUCUAUCUAUUCAAGGGGCCAGAGAAUCCAGACCCAGUAAGGAAAAAUAGCCCAUUUACUUUAAAUCGAUAAGUGAAGCAGACAUGCCAUUUUCAGUGUGGGGAUUGGGAAGCCCUAGUUCUUUCAGAUGUACUUCAGACUGUAGAAGGAGCUUCCAGUUGAAUUGAAAUUCACCAGUGGACAAAAUGAGGACAACAGGUGAACGAGCCUUUUCUUGUUUAAGAUUAGCUACUGGUAAUCUAGUGUUGAAUCCUCUCCAGCUUCAUGCUGGAGCAGCUAGCAUGUGAUGUAAUGUUGGCCUUGGGGUGGAGGGGUGAGGUGGGCGCUAAGCCUUUUUUUAAGAUUUUUCAGGUACCCCUCACUAAAGGCACUGAAGGCUUAAUGUAGGACAGCGGAGCCUUCCUGUGUGGCAAGAAUCAAGCAAGCAGUAUUGUAUCGAGACCAAAGUGGUAUCAUGGUCGGUUUUGAUUAGCAGUGGGGACUACCCUACCGUAACACCUUGUUGGAAUUGAAGCAUCCAAAGAAAAUACUUGAGAGGCCCUGGGCUUGUUUUAACAUCUGGAAAAAAGGCUGUUUUUAUAGCAGCGGUUACCAGCCCAAACCUCAAGUUGUGCUUGCAGGGGAGGGAAAAGGGGGAAAGCGGGCAACCAGUUUCCCCAGCUUUUCCAGAAUCCUGUUACAAGGUCUCCCCACAAGUGAUUUCUCUGCCACAUCGCCACCAUGGGCCUUUGGCCUAAUCACAGACCCUUCACCCCUCACCUUGAUGCAGCCAGUAGCUGGAUCCUUGAGGUCACGUUGCAUAUCGGUUUCAAGGUAACCAUGGUGCCAAGGUCCUGUGGGUUGCACCAGAAAAGGCCAUCAAUUUUCCCCUUGCCUGUAAUUUAACAUUAAAACCAUAGCUAAGAUGUUUUAUACAUAGCACCUAUGCAGAGUAAACAAACCAGUAUGGGUAUAGUAUGUUUGAUACCAGUGCUGGGUGGGAAUGUAGGAAGUCGGAUGAAAAGCAAGCCUUUGUAGGAAGUUGUUGGGGUGGGAUUGCAAAAAUUCUCUGCUAAGACUUUUUCAGGUGGACAUAACAGACUUGGCCAAGCUAGCAUCUUAGUGGAAGCAGAUUCGUCAGUAGGGUUG
rnacentral:lncRNA from 1 species